rnacentral:RNase_P_RNA from 1 species
AGAGUAGGACAGAUGGUCGCAGCUGCAGAGAUGUAGGUGAGGAAAGUCCGGGCUUCACAGGGCAGGAUGCCGGAUAACGUCCGGUGGAGGUGACUCCAAGGAAAGUGCAACAGAAAUAUACCGCAGUACUCGUACUGUAAGGGUGGAAAGGCAGUGUAAGAGACUCCCGCCCGUCUGGUAACAGACGGGGCACAUGUAAACCCCAUUCGAAGCAAGACCAAACAGAAGGCAUAAGGCGGCCCGUCUGCUUUCGGGUAGGUUGCUUGAGCCUGUCGGCGACGACAGGACUAGACAGAUGACCAUCCAACGACAUAACCCGGCUUAUCGUCCUGCUCUGUUU